CACCGGCGGCUCGAGUGGUGGCCACUUUUAUUGGGUCUAAAGCGUCCGUAGCCGGCUUGGCAAGUCCCCUGGGAAAUCUGGCGGCUUAACCGUCAGGCGUCCAGAGGAUACUGCCAGGCUUGGGACCGGGAGAGGUGAGAGGUACCUCAGGGGUAGGGAUGAAAUCUUGUGAUCCCUGAGGGACCACCAGUGGCGAAGGCGUCUCACUAGAACGGGUCCGACGGUCAGGGACGAAAGCUGGGGGCACGAACCGG
rnacentral:rRNA from 1 species